AAAACCUUUUUUUUUCAACAAUUAACAUCAAAUACCACCUAUCAUAACAGUUCACACUCCAAGCAAGCAUUCCAGUCAUUAUUCCUACCAAUCCCUAUCCCUCCACCUACCAAUCAGGGAAAUACUAGUAAUAAUGAUAACAAUAGUCAAGACAAGCUAACCCUUGACACCAACUUCAACUGGCUGCCAAUCAAACCACUGAGGCAAAAAGAACCUAGGUGUGCAGGUCACUUUUGCUGAAUGGAGAGAAUGUUAAAUAAUCAAACACUUUACUUGCUGUU
rnacentral:misc_RNA from 1 species